rnacentral:misc_RNA from 1 species
GAUGAAGAACGCAGCGAAAUGCGAUAAGUAAUGUGAAUUGCAGAAUUCAGUGAAUCAUCGAGUCUUUGAACGCACAUUGCGCCCCCUGGUAUUCCGGGGGGCAUGCCUGUCCGAGCGUCAUUGCCGCCUUCAAGCACGGCUUGUGUGUUGGGCCCCCGCCCCCCGGCUUCGGGGGGCGGGCCCGAAAGGCAGCGGCGGCACCGCGUCCGGUCCUCGAGCGUAUGGGGCUUCGUCACCCGCUCUGUAGGCCCGGCCGGCGCCCGCCGGCGACCCCAAUCAAUCUUUCCAGGUUGACCUCGGAUCAGGUAGGGAUACCCGCUGAACUUAAGCAUAUCAAUAAGCGGAGGA